CUGGCCGCGGCUCCCUACAGCAUCCCUUCCUGCUAGGGUGCAGAGGACAGGGUCAUCUGUGAGGCUUCCCAGUCCUGCUCCCUCUGUGCCAUGCCCAACCUAGAGACUGAAGUCAGGGUCUCUGUCCCAUCCCUUACGCCAAGAGAUGUAUCAGGCACCUUUGCGUAAGCAAAGACGUGUUGUGUUAUCAUCCCCGAGUCCGCCUUCUGUUGCAAUUGGCCCAGCUCUGGUGAGAAGGGAGACCCAGGACAACUUAAUCUCUGCUACUUUCAGAGAAUUUAUUUCUUGGACUCUGCAGAUGUUUGGCGCUAAGAAGUAAGCUAGAAGCAGGUUCAGAGGCGUCUGGGGGCAAAUGGAGCUUUCCUGCGCCAUCUCCAGUGCCCCCCCCCCUAGCUGUUUUGAUGGAUCUCUGGCCUCCUUGGUCCCUGUUGAUUUGAACACUGGCCGACGACCAGAAACAGUAUUUCGAUCCGGGGAAGGAAUGCCUGUUGCGCCUUGCGGUAAACGCCCUUGAUAUUCACUAUGACUGGUUUGGAGCCUCCCACAAUUCUCUUCCCUGCCAUCAAGGAAGAAGAACCGUGUUUUCCCUCUGCCUCUGGAGAAGUAGUAGCCGUGACUUAGGAACAGGACGCUCCAUCGCCGCCACACCACUUCCUUCUCAGUCCUCCCCUGUGUGACUGCACUGGGUACUGAGAGGCCGGCUUCUCUGCCUGCUUAAUAAACCCAUUGAGAGGAGCUAGCUCUCGACCCGGAUGGUGUUCUGAACUUGGAAAGCCAGGGUGGUUCUGUGGGGGCUUCAGUUUCCAGAGAAGAGGGGAAGCAAUGUCGUAUUUUGAUACAGUUGUGUGCUGAGUUGUAUCUUCACACCCACUCAUUCUGAAACAGGGCCUCGCACAUGGGAGGCAAGCACUCUACCACACAGGCACACUCUAAGCAGAGCACAUGGUGCUCAGUCUCUCCCUCUGGCUCCUUCCCUUCCCCCUCCCCUUGUUUCCUCCCACUCCUCCCCUCCUCCUCCCCUCCUCCUCUGCCCUCUUUCCUGUCCUCUCUGUGACUGUGUCAUGCUUCCUUGCCUAGUGGUAUCUCCCACUGCCAGCUCUUUCUUGCUUCUUCUCCUGGCCCAGGGAGCUCAGGAGUAGACCGCGUCUCCAGACCAACCGAGAGUAAUGCCUGUGUCUCUAGCAUGAAACCCCACGGAAAAUCUUGUGACAAAAUGCAAGUUUCAGUAAAGAAGCUGUAAGACUGCUCCUUGUGUGUCAGGUUCCAAGAUUUAUCACUUGUACACAGUCCAAAAACUUUUAAAAUAGAGAUGCAAUAUGGGAAAUUAAGUUUGGAUUUAAUUAACAUUUACCAAGCCCCAAUUAUGUGUAAGCACCAUGCACAUGCUGUCUGUGCAGUGUGUUAGUUGGUUUAACCCUGGAUCUUUAGCUUCAUUUUGCAGACAAUAAUUUCUAGUAGUAUAGGUGUUUAUUUUGUGGUUAUUCUAUGUCAGUUCUGUGUUAAGCAUUAUAUGUAUAGUGCUACUUUUAACCAUCGCAAGAACUGGGUGAGGAACAUAUUUGUUGCCCCUCUUUUACAGAGAAGCAGGCUAUGACUAUUUGCUCAAGAUGGUUCCUGGUGGCAGUGACCUGAAUUCAAGGAACACCCAGUGUUGCUCUUUCUGAAAGGUUCUGGGUGGAGGCUGAUAUCAGCCCGGUAUCUCUGUAGGAUGGCAUCACCCUGGUGGUCCUGCAGGAUGACAUCA